CUUCCAGUAGCACCUUAGAGACCAACUAAGUUUGUUAUUGGUAUGAGCUUUCGUACAAAUAACAAACUUAGUUGGUCUCUAAGAUGCUACUGGAAG
rnacentral:miRNA from 1 species